UUCGGCUGUUUCGUGUGUCUGUUAACCAGAAAAGGAGGCUAUGAUAACUCCAUGACACUGCUGUGGCACUAAACCUCAAAGAAUGUGUGCUGGUCCUUGAUAGCUGAGUCACAGGAUCGAAGAUGACCUUACUAAUGCAGGACUUUUUGUGAAGACAGAUGGAAAAUGGAGACCGUGGUGUGCCAUGAAAGAAGGGCAAGUAUGGACCAGAGCUGUGAAUGUGGAUGUGAAUGAUGCUCACUAUGGUGUUGAGAAGAGAUGAUCCUGUGUACUCUUUGUAAAGAUUAAAGAUGCUAAGCUAUUCAAAGAAGUCUGGGUAUGUAGCAUGCCUGUCCUAUAUUUUUUGAGAGAUCAGAAACUGAAUGGUAUCCUUU